GGCUAGGAUUAUAGGGUACAUGUUAACGUUUUUUUACCGUAAAUUUCAAUCAAUAGGAACCUCGAUAGGAACAACAAAUCCAAUCGUAAUGUUUGUUGCGGGUGCAGCCGUAACUCUUGCCAUCGUGCUUGUUGUCAUAUUUGCAAUUCAAAUAUACAAAAGACGACGCCAUGCUUCUAAGUUAUCGAGUAGUGUUCUUGCAGUAGACACAAUCGAAAUGCAAAAUGAAACAGCACCAGAGGCAUCGCAGAAUAAUCAGGUAAGUGUUUCUAAUCCA